AGCGAACGCUGGCGGCAGGCUUAACACAUGCAAGUCGAGCGGGCACUUCGGUGUCAGCGGCAGGCGGGUGAGUAACACGUGGGAACGUACCCUUUGGUUCGGAAUAACGCUGGGAAACUAGCGCUAAUACCGGAUACGCCCUUUUGGGGAAAGGCUUGCUGCCGAAGGAUCGGCCCGCGUCUGAUUAGCUAGUUGGUGGGGUAAUGGCCUACCAAGGCGACGAUCAGUAGCUGGUCUGAGAGGAUGAUCAGCCACACUGGGGCUGAGACACGGCCCAGACUCCUACGGGAGGCAGCAGUGGGGAAUAUUGGACAAUGGGCGCAAGCCUGAUCCAGCCAUGCCGCGUGAGUGAUGAAGGCCUUAGGGUUGUAAAGCCCUUUUGUCCGGGACGAUAAUGACGGUACCGGAAGAAUAAGCCCCGGCUAACUUCGUG
rnacentral:rRNA from 1 species